AACGCUAGCUACAGGCUUAACACAUGCAAGUCGCGGGGCAGCAUGAAGUCAGCUUGCUGACUUUGAUGGCGACCGGCGCACGGGUGAGUAACGCGUAUCCAACCUGCCUGUUACCACGGCACAGCCCGUCGAAAGGCGGAUUAAUGCCGUAUGUGGUCCUUUGCGGGCAUCUGAUUAGGACUAAAAGUUUGGCGGUAACGGAUGGGGAUGCGUCCGAUUAGCUAGACGGCGGGGUAACGGCCCACCGUGGCGACGAUCGGUAGGGGUUCUGAGAGGAAGGUCCCCCACACUGGAACUGAGACACGGUCCAGACUCCUACGGGAGGCAGCAGUGAGGAAUAUUGGUCAAUGGGCGCAAGCCUGAACCAGCCAAGUAGCGUGAGGGAAGACUGCCCUAUGGGUUGUAAACCUCUUUUGUGCGGGGAUAAAGUGUGGGACGUGUCCCAUAUUGCAGGUACCGCACGAAUAAGGACCGGCUAAUUCCGUGCCAGCAGCCGCGGUAAUACGGAAGGUCCGGGCGUUAUCCGGAUUUAUUGGGUUUAAAGGGAGCGCAGGCCGUCCUUUAAGCGUGCUGUGAAAUGCCGCGGCUCAACCGUGGCACUGCAGCGCGAACUGGAGGACUUGAGUACGCACAAGGUAGGCGGAAUUCGUGGUGUAGCGGUGAAAUGCUUAGAUAUCACGAAGAACUCCGAUUG
rnacentral:rRNA from 1 species